rnacentral:rRNA from 1 species
AUGAGGGCCACACCGGCGUUCCCGCUCAGCCCUGCUUCCUCCUCUUUCCACCCAGUUCCUCUCCUCUCUCCGCCCUCUGGUCAACAGCGACCACCCAAGCUCGCCCCGAUCCAUGACCCUCUCCUUCCGCCCAGCUUGGGCCCGUUGUCGGUCGUCCGUGGGCCGAGCGCCGCGCCUGCUCCUCAAGCUCCUCUUUCUGUGCCGCCCCGCCUGCACUGCCCACCCGCGCCUCCGGAGAAGUCAUGGUUGCCUUCUGCCAAGCUGCUGGAUCGAUGGCCGGCCGCCGCCACGACCAACCUCAACCUUCUGGACGCGAUGGGCAGCGGCCAUGGGGGCAGCACCUUCGACCUCUCGCUCGCCGCCAGACAGGACCUUCGCCAACAUCUCAUUCAUCCUGAUAUUCGUUGCCUUUGGCACGGCCACCACUGCUUGCCUUCCUUGGAUCAAAGAAUUAUGAGCUCCCCCAUACACGAUUGA